UCUUCAUUAUACGUACUCUCUCACCGGUCAGAGCUGCGAGAGAGCACGCUGAAUGAAGAGA
rfam:Pristionchus pacificus strain PS312 contig9758, whole genome shotgun sequence.